rnacentral:lncRNA from 1 species
UUUCUUCAUUUUCUUUUCAUGAUCCCUCAGACACGUCUUACUGUCCAAACAGGCCAUUACUGUCACAGAGGCACAGCAACCCCACGGGGAUGUCCAGCAGGAUCCAUCAGUGUCACUGAGGGCCAAUCCCGCUGUAGCAUCUGUCUUCCAGGAUACUACUGCCCUGGAAACAGCUCCUCAUAUGAAGACAGAGAAUGCCCUACUGGAUAUUACUGCCCUGCAGGCACUAUAGCUAAAUACCAGUACCCUUGUCCGGCUGGAACCAUCAAUCCUUACUUGCGGAGUGGUGACCUCACUGGCUGUGUGCCCUGUCCCCCUGGCUUCUACUGUACCUCAGCUGGACAGGGCGAAACGUCUGGACCCUGUGCUGCUGGACACUUCUGCUAUUUAGGAUCUAAUUCCCCUAAACCAGAAGAUGGUCUGACUGGGGACAAGUGUCCUCCUGGACAUUUCUGUCCACAAGGAGUGUCAGCCCCCCAUCCAUGUCCUGUUGGAUAUUACAGCAGCCAGGCUGGCAACACUGAUCUGUCCAACUGUCUGCCAUGCCCCUCAGGUUUUUCUUGUACCAGUAGGGGUCUCUCCAUCCCUUCUGACCAAUGCCGGGCAGGAUUUUACUGUACUGAAGAUGAGAGCAUUCACUCUGGACCACAAACCUGCUCACCAGGUCACAUGUGCCCUGCUGGGAGCUCGGCCCAGAUUCCCUGUGUUCCAGGAACCUACCAGAGCCAACCUGGCCAGGCAGUGUGUGUCCACUGUCCAGCUGGCUUCUACUGUGCAGGCUCUGUGAAUCCUGUCACUGAAGAUACAGAAGGGACCCACACACCGGCACCUUGCCCUAAAGGACAUUUCUGUCCACCAGGCACUAAAUCUGGAAUGGAGUUCCCUUGCCCAGCAGGUACCUACAGCGAUCAGGAAGGCAUCGCUAAUAACAGCCAAUGCACCCCUUGUCCUCCAGGACAGUACUGCAGUGCGGCAGGGUUGACAGACCCUACUGGGGACUGCUCACCGGGGUUUGUUUGCAUCCAAGGUUCCAUUCAAUCACAGCCUCCUGGAGAUCAGACAGGCGGCCGAUGCCCUGCAGGAUUCUACUGCAUGUCAGGUUCCAGCCAUGCACAGCCCUGCCCCCCAGGCACAUUCAGCUCAUUAGAAGGAGCUAUAUCUGUGGAGGCAUGCCACCUCUGCCCACCAGGCCAGUACUGUGCAGAUUAUGGCUUGCAAACACCAUCAGGCCCCUGUAGUCCUGGGUUCUUUUGCACACAGGGAGCCUCAAACUCAACCCCUCGGUUUAACAGUAC